rnacentral:lncRNA from 10 species
UUUAACGCCAGGUCUUUUUCAGAGGAAGGAGACUAUUGCUGGCUUCAGUAAUCCUAAAUAGUCCUAUGAAAGGACUGUGUCCUAUGAAAGACAGAGUAUACAUACAGGGUCUCACUCUCUUGCCCAGGCUUGGGUGAAGUGGCACAAACACAGCUCACUGCAGCCUCAAUCUCCCAGGCUCAAAGGAUCCUCCCACCUCAGCUUCCCAAGUAGCUGGGACUAUAGGCAUGCACCACCACGCCAGGCUAAUUUUUCUAUUUUUUGUAGAGACACGGUUUUGCCAUGUUGGUCAGGCUGGUCUCGCACUCCUGACCUCAAGUGAUCCACCCGCCUUGGCCUCCCAAAGUGCUGGGAUUACAGGCUUGAGCCACCUCACCCAGUUGAAAGUAAUUUUUAAAAACUUUUUAUUGUGGAAAUAUUCUAAACUAUAUAAAAAUGUAAAGAUGCUGUAAUAAACUAACAGGAAUCCAUCACCUAUCUUCAACGAUUGUUAGUUUUGUCAGUUAAUAUGUUUAUCUUUCCUGUCCCCUGUUUUAUUUUUUGCUGGUGUGUUUUAAAGCAAAUCCCUGACAUCAUUUCACUCAUAAACACUUCACAUGCAUUCCUCUAACAUAACCACAGUGCUCUGAACAUGAUUAACAAAACUAGCAAUGUCAACUGAACUUGAAUUUUUAAGCCCUCUCUCCUGGCUCUGUGCCUAGCGCUAUGCCUUAAAUAGAAGUAUGUGAUAAUUAUUUGUCAACUAAAAGUAUUAAAAUGAUGACUUGCAAAUUGUACAGAGAAUAAAUAACACAGAACGCUUUCUCAAAGAGUUCAUGCCACUCACCAAUCAAAUUCUCUCCUCUCUACUCCACUUCCCUACUCCCCCUCCCAUCCAAGAACCACUGCCCUCAAGAACCAAG